rnacentral:rRNA from 1 species
AACCUGCGGAAGGAUCAUUACCGAGUGAGGGCCCUCCGGGUCCAACCUCCCACCCGUGUUUAUCGUACCUUGUUGCUUCGGCGGGCCCGCCGCAAGGCCGCCGGGGGGCAGCAGCCCCCGGGUCCGCGCCCGCCGAAGACACCUGUGAACGCUGUAUGAAGAUUGCAGUCUGAGCGAUUAGCUAAAUCGGUUAAAACUUUCAACAACGGAUCUCUUGGUUCCGGCAUCGAUGAAGAACGCAGCGAAAUGCGAUACGUAAUGUGAAUUGCAGAAUUCAGUGAAUCAUCGAGUCUUUGAACGCACAUUGCGCCCCCUGGUAUUCCGGGGGGCAUGCCUGUCCGAGCGUCAUUGCUGCCCUCAAGCACGGCUUGUGUGUUGGGCCCUCGUCCCCCCGGGGACGGGCCCGAAAGGCAGCGGCGGCACCGCGUCCGGUCCUCGAGCGUAUGGGGCUUCGUCACCCGCUCUGUAGGCCCGGCCGGCGCCUGCCGACGACCACAUCAAUCUUAUUUCCAGGUGACCUCGGAUCAGUA